UAAUUUAAUGUUUUAUUUUGCCCAACAGCUAGAUGCUCCACUUAGAGGAAUACAAACAAAUUGAAGCUGAUUUAACCAACACAUACUACCUAGCAGCUGAGAAACCUUCAUGAAGCAAGGAUUAAUUGUUUGUGGCAUAGCAUACAACAAUAACAACAACAACUCAACAAAUCUACCAUAGGAGAAAUAAAGAUAACUAUUAAGGCUAGGUAUACUAGCCCUGAAAACCUCAGCCUCAUUUUUUAUCUACAAUGAAAAUCAAGUGAAGUUUAUAAUACGUCUCUUAUCAACAACAAAUACAUACUGACCCACAUGUUCUCUCUUUACUAGCAUAAUGCCAAUUGAUUUUCAUGAAUAAGAGAUCCUCAAAUGAUAGACGAAUUUUCAAAGCCUUCAAAGAAAGUAUAUAUUGAAUUUAAUGUAGUUUGAUUGAACAUUUUCAUCAUGCUGAUAAAACAACAGGAGCCGUGUGAAAGAAAUAAAUGGGCAUGUACUUUCCUCGAAAGACAAUCUUAUUCACCGCAGAAGACACUGGAGCCUUCAAUAGUUGGAGCUGGGGCCUUCACCAGGAAGCAGUCUUUCACCUAUGUUUUUGUUCUACCUUUCACUCUUGAUAUCAACUUUGGUACAAGCAUGAUCUUUGGCUAUCAGACCCUAUCGUAUAUCUGUAAAA